rnacentral:rRNA from 1 species
GUCUACGGCCAUACCACCCUGAACGCGCCCGAUCUCGGAAGCUAAGCAGGGUCGGGCCUGGUUAGUACUUGGAUGGGAGAGAGAGAGAGGAGGAAGCAGGCU